UGAUAUUUACAAAUGGCAGAAAAAGAUAUAUUAAAUCUACAUCUAAAUCAUCACAAUAUUGUAAAGGAGUUAAAGGUUGAAAAGGUCAAAGAGUCGUUUAGGUGAUUAGUUAUAAUGAUAGCUCAACAAUAAGCAGUCCAGUGGAUGAUCAGGUUACAAUAAAAGAAAUUGGGUUAUAAAAUUGGAUCAGUGUAAACAGCAGAAUCUAAUUCAAUGAGAACUGAAAAAAUUCCAUCUUAAAUGAAAGACUUUGUUAGCAAGUAAAAGCAAGAAAUUGUUGCUUUACAACAGAAUCAUGUGGAGGUUGCAAGUCACGUCUCCAUGACAGAAUCGCGCAUGGAUGGACUGGAGGGAUCGAUGAGAGAAAUCCGAAGCAUGCUGUCUGACGCACUUAAGUUGAAGCAGGUAGCCCCGAUGAUCUGUGAUGAAUGCUCUUUAUACCAUUGAUACCAACAACAAUUCUACCAACCUAGAGCUGCUAAAAUUAAGAUGAAGAGAGACAAGGGCCUCUAUUACUAUUGUGAGGAGAAGCGGUCACCAGGACAUAAAUAUAAAAC